rnacentral:rRNA from 1 species
AUUGAACGCUAGCGGGAUGCUUUACACAUGCAAGUCGAACGAGUGGCGGACGGGUGAGUAAUAUAUCGGCACGUGCCCAGUAGCGGGGGAUCACUACUCGAAAGAGUGGCUAAUAACGCAUACUUUUGGAGCGGCCGAUAUCGGAUUGGGUUGUUGGGGGGGUAAAGGCGCACCAAGGCAACGAUCCGUAGCUGGUUUGAGAGGAUGACCAGCCACACUGGGACUGAGACACGGCCCAGACUCCUACGGGAGGCAGAAGUGGGGAAUUUUGGACAAUGGGGGAAAGCCGGAUCCAGCCAUCCCGCGUGUAUGAGAAGGCCUUCGGGUUGUAAAGUACUUUUGGCAGAGAAGCGGUAUCUGCAUAGUAAGCACCGGCUAACUACGUGCCAGCAGCCGCGGUAAUAC